UUUAGGGAACAGACACAUGUGGGUUGUAGAAAUGACUCAGCAGUUAAGAACACUAGCUGCUCUUUCAGAGGACCUAGGCACCCUCAGUCAGCUCAAAACCAUCUGUAGCUCCAGUUCCAGGGGAUCUGACACCCUCCACAGGCGUCGGGCACACAGCAAUACACAGACAUACAUGCAGAUCUGUUCUGCCUUCCCUCAACCUUCAAAAAUAACUUUACCGUGGUAAUGAGUUAAUGCAGAGACUCAACUCAUCAAAGUGUUGUAGUUUUGGAGACAAGGUCUCCCGCUGAACCUGGAGCUCAUCAAUCCAGCCUGCGUUCGUUCUCUCUGCUCUCAACUGGAUGUGACUAGCCGCUUCCAUGUCCUGCCCCCGUAACUGUAGCAAAACUCACAUCUUCCUCGACAGUGCUUCCGACAGGGUAUCCCAGCACUGCAAUGGGAACGAGAUCAGGACGGCUGGUGUGCCGGAGCCGGGUCUGGCGGCAGAAGAGAUAACAUACACCUGUCAGCUUCAGAGCUGGCGCCAGCUCUGCCCAUCUAUCUACAGGUGUGGCUGCUCAGCUUCGCUUAACAAGUAGUGACUUCCUUUCCCUCUGACACAAUUGUGAUCGUCAUUACUGCUAUUGUUAGUUUAUGAGGUCUGUCAUUCCAGGUGGCUUAAAGAAGAGAACUGGACUUCCCACUUCUCGAGGCUGGGAGUGCGCGAAUCCGAGGUCUCGGUGUCGUUGGCUUCUAAGGAGGCUGUCUCUUCUGCACGUGGGCACAUGUUCUUCCCUCUGCCGUGUCCUUAGGGUCCUGUGCCCUAUCCUCUUAAGACCACCAGUCACAUUGAAUCGGGGCCCGCUCUUGUGGCCUCAUCUUAACUUAUCCCUUUAAAGUUCUUAUUUCUAAGCACAACCACAUUGUGAGGUCCUUGGAGUUGGAGCUUUAGAGUGUGAAUGGUGAGGAUGAGGCAGGGCAUAGUUUAGGCCAUAACAGCCUGCUUGACUUCCUUGGCGGAAAUACUACACAGGGACACCAGCAAGAUUUGGUUUGGGAAGAAGGUCUUCAGGCUGAAGAGGGAGCUGCUGAGUCGAAAGUGGUCUCUUUGUUGUCUGUGUGACUUGCCAGGCACACACACCGACCUGGGCAGUCCUUAGGAGAAGGAAGGGGACCGAGGUGCACAGUUACCUGGACGGUGUUGACUAUAUAAACUGAACACUGUAAAGAGGUCACAUUGCUGACAAGACUCUUGGGCACCGAACAAGAAUUAAGAAACUCACUGUGCCAUGCAUUGACAGCUGUACUGUAGGCAGAAGCACACGCAAACAUAGAUGAUUUUGGAAAGACACACAUGGGUACCAUUUUCACUAAGUAAGUUAGGAGUGUACGUGUCUGUGUGUGCAUGUCAUGUGUGUUUGUAGGUAUGUAUAUGUACAUAUUAUGCUGUCUAUGUACAUGUGUUAUAUGUGAGUGUGUUUGUAUGUGAGACUCAUAUGUUCAAUUACACCUGUACUUUGCUGGGGUCAGAUCCAGAUUUAGGAAUUCAUUUCUGAGGCCGGGGAAGUUAAGGGUGCAUGGGAAAGGAAAGGAGGCCUCGCUCCAGGGUCUCCUUUAUGUCUUCUUCCUGCUAAAAGUUGGAAACUUCUAUACAGCUAAUAACAUGUUUUGGCAUAUGAUUGUCUCCUUAGAAAUAAUAUUUCUUUUGUAUAGAGGUAUUUCAAAUAAAAAUGUUAAGAUAGCAACAGACCACGCUUAAGAACUAAGCGUAGAUGCCCUUUGAGUAUGACCUUCUCCUUUCUCAGAUAUUAACCUACAAUUUCUGGAAAUCUAUGAACAUGACUGAAAGAUUCGUUACAGUAAAAGUGUCUUAGCUUCCUUGUGCAAACCUCAUGACCCGUGGUUUUCCCUGAGCAGUCUGGAAUCCUAUCCAGACUCAGAAGCUGCCCUGUGAGCUCACUGAAGAAAACAGAGGAAAGGGGGAGGGGGAGUCACUAGAAACCCUUUCAAUAAUGUGACUUCAAAAGCCACCAAAAUGUGACUCUUUAGCAGCCCACACUUGGGUGUGUGCUAUGCUUUCCAAAAGCCUGCUUUGUCCGGGAGAUCUCGGAGGGUGCCUCCGCAGAGGAGAUAAGUCACACCUGACUGACUGUGGACAUCCUAUCUAGUACCUUCCCUAAACUGCUGAACUCCUAACACAGAACAACCCCUAGGUAGGGCCGGAUUAUAGAAUUAAUUUCGUAAUGACGGCUGCAUAUUCUCCUACUAAUCUGCUAACUUCAGAGACCCACACACACACCCUUAAACUCAGAGACCCUCCCCUCUAAAGUCUAUAAGCUUAAAAAAUCACAUUUUUCUUCCCAUUGCUAUAGGAUCUCCUGUCCCAACUCUCCCCACUGCA